rnacentral:rRNA from 1 species
CAGUCGCCACGGUAAUACGAAGGGUGCAAGCGUUAAUCGGAAUUACUGGGCGUAAAGCGCGCGUAGGUGGUUCAUUAAGUUGGAUGUGAAAGCCCUGGGCUCAACCUGGGAACUGCAUCCAAAACUGGUGAGCUAGAGUACGGUAGAGGGUAGUGGAAUUUCCUGUGUAGCGGUGAAAUGCGUAGAUAUAGGAAGGAACACCAGUGGCGAAGGCGACUACCUGGACUGAUACUGACACUGAGGUGCGAAAGCGUGGGGAGCAAACAGGAUUAGAUACCCCCGUAGUCCCUGUCUCUUAUAC